rnacentral:sRNA from 1 species
AAAAAUUGAUAUGUUCCAAGAAAAUAUAACAAAUUAGAUUUAUUGUAUAGUUGGUGAAAUGUAUCUUUUUUUUUGGAGCUUUUACAGAAAUUGGUACUUUUUGGCCCAAAAAUUAAAAAUUGAGCACUUUUACAAUGGGCUUAUGGGAUAAGGCAUUUUCUGUGAGAUGGAUUGACCAAAUUCCCCGUAAAAUUAUUUCUUCAUCAUCUUUUUCUUCGACAACUCACAAACAUCUCUACCACCAACACCCAUGUUCCGAUUAAUCCAAUAAACUCAAUUAAAUACUUGUUUAUGGAAAAAAACUAAACCCUAAAUGGAUACUAUAUAGUGAACCCAAGGGAUCCAAUCCAAAACCAUAAUCAAAUCUAGUAAAAUUUCAAUAGUUUUCUUUCUUCCGUUUGUAAAAUAAAGUAAGAGAUGAUCAAAUUGUGAU